rnacentral:piRNA from 1 species
UGUCUAGGUCGUAGUCUCUGGUCUUUGGUUC